AUUGAACGCUGGCGGCAGGCCUAACACAUGCAAGUCGAACGAGUGGCGGACGGGUGAGUAAUGUCUGGGAAACUGCCCGAUGGAGGGGGAUAACUACUGGAAACGGUAGCUAAUACCGCCUACCAGCGGAUGAGCCCAGAUGGGAUUAGCUAGUAGGUGGGGUAACGGCUCACCUAGGCGACGAGCCCUAGCUGGUCUGAGAGGACGACCAGCCACCCUGUAACAUAGAGACGGUCCAGACUCCUACGCGAGGCAGCAGUGGGGAAUAUUGCACAAUGGGCGCAAGCCUGAUGCAGCCAUGCCGCGUGUAUGAAGAGGGCCUUCGGGUUGUAAAGUACUUUCAGCGAGGAGGCGUUACUCGCAGAAGAAGCACCGACUAACUCCGUGCCAGCAGCCGCGGUAAUUC
rnacentral:rRNA from 1 species